rnacentral:rRNA from 1 species
UACGAAGGGGGGCUAGCGUUGUUCGGAUUUACUGGGCGUAAAGCGCACGUAGGCGGAUCGUUAAGUCGGGGGGUGAAAUCCUGGAGCUCAACUCCAGAACUGCCUUCGAUACUGGCGAUCUUGAGUCCGGAAGAGGUGAGUGGAACUCCUAGUGUAGAGGUGGAAUUCGUAGAUAUUAGGAAGAACACCAGUGGCGAAGGCGGCUCACUGGUCCGGUACUGACGCUGAGGUGCGAAAGCGUGGGGAGCAAACAG